UUUUUUUUUUUUUUUUUUCUUUCUUCCAGCAGCAUCUGGAGGAGAAGCUGGGAGGGUCCCAACCAACCACAGGGUGUUCUCUGGAGGCCCAGCUGAGGCGCGUGGGCGGAAACGGCCCCUGGUCUCCGCUUGCUUUCUGCUUGAAACACUCACGGAGCACACCACAAGGUUUUUCAGAGUGACACGAUAUAUAUUUAAGGGUGAGUCAAACCUCAAAUUACAUUGCCCGAGAACGGAGCUGCUGCAAAGAAAGUGGCUAAAUUAUUGGCAUGAGACAGGACGCGGGAGCCUAUGGCGUGAAGAAACCACUAGUAAAAGUGGAAGGAAACGACUUUUGAAGAUAUUGCUACCUGUGCUAAGAAACCUCAAGUGCUUACCAACCGUUUCUGAUCAAACCUGAAAUAGGCUCCACACCCAGUGGGCUUGAACUCAUGACCCUGAGAUCAAGACCUGAGCUGAUAUCGAAAGUAGGACACUUAACCGACUGAGCCACCCAGGCGCCCCAGGAUUGGUGUCUUCUUAAGAAAAGGCACCAGAGAGCUCACUGUCUCUGCGCAUGCACACAUUUGGGGAAAGGCCACAUGAACACGCUGUGAGAAGAUGUGCCACCUGCUACCCAAAGGGGACGGGCUCACCAGACGUCAACCCUGCCAGCACCUUGAUCUUGGACUUCCAGCCUCCAGAUCUGUGAAAACUAAGUUUCUGUGGUUUAAGCCACCCGGUCUGUGGUACUUUGUUCUGGCAGCCCUGGCACUCUGGGUUCUCCCUUCAGGCUGCCCCACACUCACUGCUGACCCUCUCGCGUGUUCAUUCUUGCCUGCCCCUUGACUGGUCAGCUCACGUGCUGGCUCAGAGACCCGCAGUCCCUUUUGCCUGUCUCCUGGCCCCAGGCAGAAGGAGGAAAGUGCCAUAAAUCAUCUCUACAAAGACCCCCCCCCCCCAUCCAAAAUGAAGAUGGGUUUUUAUUUAACAUCUCAGUCUGAAGCAGUUUCAUCUGGACGAUGCCACUGGGUUUUCCAAGAACCAGCCUUGCUGGGGAAAGAACAUUUCCCUAACAGCCGUCCAGGAUGCGGAAAGUGUGACAGCUUCUUUUCCCUUAAUGUUAAAAAUUUUUAAAGAUAUUUACAAAAUUGAUAGAAUAGUACAGGGAACACUCACAUACCCUUUACCUAGACUGAACGAUUGCUAGCAUUUGCCUUGUUUGCUUUAUCUGCAUAUAUAUAUGCAGAUAGA